CCCAAUUCCCAGAGCAGUUUUGCUCUUUUUAUUAUAUUUUUUGGAAAGGUUGUUUCUUCUUUGUUUAUUAAUGCUGAAAGAAAGGGCAGGUCACAAUAUAAAACGUGUGACAUACAGGUAAAAAUGGAAAUGGACUGCCUUCAAGUCAAUCCCGACUUUAUGAAUAGAGUUUUCAUGACAAGCAAGAGGCAUUCUCAAAGCUCAAGGACACGUUCCAGCCAGGUGGAAAACACUCAAGGCCUGGCUCGUUGAAUUGCUCCAUUUCACACUUGGGGGCAGGGGGAAUCUCCACAUUUCUUUCAUAUCAGCUCUGAGCACAGACGGAGAAAGAGCAAAAUGGAGGAGGAAAAAGGAGUGAGGGAAGCCGUUCCUGGUGUCCUGAGCUGGGAGAGGCUGUUCAGCAAACGUUGGCACAAGCUAUUGAGCCCAAGGGCUGUGAAACAGCAAAGGUGGAGCCAUAUUCGUUCCAGAGCAAGAAUAAGAGAUGCCGAACAAAACGAGCACCCAUUUUGGAAGAAAAUGCAUGGGCAGGGUGGGGAAUCUUGUACAGUGGCAUGUAAUUUGCAUCUGUUGUGACUUG